UACCGGGGAGCAGCAGUAGGGAAUAUUGGGCAAUGGGCGAGAGCCUGACCCAGCCAUGCCGCGUGCCGGAUGAAGGCCUUCUGGGUUGUAAACGGCUUUUCUCAGGGAAGAAAAAGGUGAUGCGUCACAAACUGACGGUACCUGAGGAAUAAGCACCGGCUAACUCCGUGCCAGCAGCCGCGGUAAUACGGAGGGUGCAAGCGUUGUCCGGAUUUAUUGGGUUUAAAGGGUGCGUAGGUGGCCCGUUAAGUCCGGGGUGAAAGCCCACAGCUCAACUGUGGAACUGCCCUGGAUACUGGCGGGCUUGAGUCCAGACGAGGUUGGCGGAAUGGAAGAUGUAGCGGUGAAAUGCAUAGAUAUCUUCCAGAACCCCGAUUGCGUAGGCAGCUGACUAGGCUGGUACUGACACUGAGGCACGAAAGCGUGGGGAGCGAACAGGAUUAGAUACCCUGGUAGUCCACGCCGUAAACGAUGGAUACUCGCUGGUGGCGAUAGACAGUCACUGGCUUAGCGAAAGCGGUAAGUUCCCACCU
rnacentral:rRNA from 1 species